rnacentral:rRNA from 1 species
UGAAGACUGGUGCUUGCACUAGUCAGAUGAGUUGCGAACGGGUGAGUAACGCGUACGUAACCUACCUCAUAGCGGGGGAUAACUAUUGGAAACGAUAGCUAAUACCGCAUGACAAUUAAGUACUCAUGUACUAAAUUUAAAAGGAGCAAUUGCUUCACUAUGAGAUGGACCUGCGUUGUAUUAGCUAGUUGGUGAGGUAACGGCUCACCAAGGCCACGAUACAUAGCCGACCUGAGAGGGUGAUCGGCCACACUGGGACUGAGACACGGCCCAGACUCCUACGGGAGGCAGCAGUAGGGAAUCUUCGGCAAUGGGGGCAACCCUGACCGAGCAACGCCGCGUGAGUGAAGAAGGUUUUCGGAUCGUAAAGCUCUGUUGUUAGAGAAGAACGGUAAUGGGAGUGGAAAAUCCAUUACGUGACGGUAACUAACCAGAAAGGGACGGCUAACUACGUGCCAGCAGCCGCGGUAAUACGUAGGUCUCGAGCGUUGUCCGGAUUUAUUGGGCGUAAAGCGAGCGCAGGCGGUUAUUUAAGUCUGAAGUUAAAGGCCGUGGCUCAACCAUGGUUCGCUUUGGAAACUGGAUAACUUGAGUGCAGAAGGGGAGAGUGGAAUUCCAUGUGUAGCGGUGAAAUGCGUAGAUAUAUGGAGGAACACCGGUGGCGAAAGCGGCUCUCUGGUCUGUAACUGACGCUGAGGCUCGAAAGCGUGGGGAGCAAACAGGAUUAGAUACCCUGGUAGUCCACGCCGUAAACGAUGAGUGCUAGGUGUUAGGCCCUUUCCGGGGCUUAGUGCCGCAGCUAACGCAUUAAGCACUCCGCCUGGGGAGUACGACCGCAAGG